GGGAGUGAUCCCCCUCGAGUACCUCCCGGGGGGAGACGGCGGACACCCUGGGACUCACGGGGCGGGAACGAUACACCAUCAACAUCCCAGAGAACCUCAAACCACGAAUGAAAGUCCAGGUCAAGCUGGAUACCGGGAAGACCUUCCAGGCGGUCAUGAGGUUUGACACCGACGUGGAGCUCACCUAUUUCCACAACGGGGGCAUCCUCAACUACAUGAUCCGCAAGAUGGCCAAGUAGGCCCCGUCCCCUUGGAGACCUGCCCUGGGAGCUGCCCCGGAGCGUGUGCGGAGCCACCGGCCGCCGAGCCCCUGGUGCAGAAGCGAGGCCCCCGCCUCCACGCGGGGUGCUGCCUUGCAGACGGAGCACAGAGCACUGGUGUGGCGGUGCCCUUCCUCCAGGCACAGGCAGCAGUUCCUCCAUUCUCUCUUUUCCUUCAUCUUUGUAUCUUUUUCUAGAAUUUGGAGGCUAGCAUGGUGGAAUGUCAGUAGUGCCAGAAAGAACUGAGCGUGUCUUUAAAGUUACUGAUCACAGAACAUUGAUUUUUUACUCUUAGCCUGUUAGUGUUCAGCUGGACACAAACAAGCGUUCUCAGAAGGAGCUCCCUGUCCUCUCUGUUUCUCGGUUCUCCUCGGUUCAAUGCAACCUUCCCCUGCCUGUUACACCAGUGUUAACUGAUGUGGGCAGAUGGGGAACUUUUGCACACUUCAGAUCACAAUGGUGAUUGCGACUCUCCCCCGCCCCCUUUCCUUCGGAGUGAAUGGUCCGGACACCUUGUGGCCAGGUCAGAGGUAGAAACGUUUUGAUUAUGUAACUUUUGAUCGAUCACCAUUAAAGAAAUGUGAAGUUUUCUUUUACUAUCUUUAAAAUUUUUCCCCAGAAAAUUUUGUUCAUUUGUCCAGAGGAUAACUUUGUUGGGAGGUGGUUUUGCAGAGAGACAGAUAUUUCUAAUUUGAAUAAAAUUAAAUCUAUUUUCAAGGAAAA